UCUGCCUGCUGAUAGGAGCAUUGCAGGUGUGGCUGCUCUGUCACAUAUGCUUCAAGAGGUGGCAGGGAGGAGGGAGGCUGUGUCUAUGCUCAGUGUUCUGACCUGUGAACAUCUGAAUGAUUAGUAGUCUCACAUU